rnacentral:ncRNA from 2 species
AUUCUCGGCACUACCUUUGGUCAACCCGACUGCAGAUGUGGGAAUCCGGUGAAAUCCCGGGGCGGUCGCGCCACUGUAACCAGGCAUGCCUGGGAGCCAGGACUCGCUCUUCACGUCGCAUAGAC